CCUACGGGAGGCAGCAGUGAGGAAUAUUGGUCAAUGGACGAGAGUCUGAACCAGCCAAGUAGCGUGAAGGAUGACUGCCCUAUGGGUUGUAAACUUCUUUUAUAUGGGAAUAAAAUGUUCCACGUGUGGGUUUUUGUAUGUACCAUAUGAAUAAGGAUCGGCUAACUCCGUGCCAGCAGCCGCGGUAAUACGGAGGAUCCGAGCGUUAUCCGGAUUUAUUGGGUUUACAGGGUGCGUAGGUUGAUUGUUAAGUCAGUUGUGAAAGUUUGCGGCUCAACCGUAAAAUUGCAGUUGAAACUGGCAGUCUUGAGUACAGUAGAGGUGGGCGGAAUUCGUGGUGUAGCGGUGAAAUGCUUAGAUAUCACGAAGAACUCCGAUUGCGAAGGCAGCUCACUGGACUGCAACUGACACUGAGGCUCGAAAGUGUGGGUAUCAAACAGGAUUAGAUACCCUUGUAGUC
rnacentral:rRNA from 1 species